UGGGGAAUAUUGNACAAUGGGGGCAACCCUGAUCCAGCMAUGCCGCGUGUGUGAAGAAGGCCUUAGGGUUGUAAAGCACUUUCAGUGGUGAGGAAGRUWGAUURGUUAAGAGCUACUUGAUUUGACGUUACCCACAGAAGAAGCACCGGCUAACUCCGUGCCAGCAGCCGCGGUAAUACGGAGGGUGCAAGCGUUAAUCGGAAUUACUGGGCGUAAAGSGWAUGYAGGUGGUUUAKUAAGUWRUAUGUGAAAGCCCUGGGCUCAACCUCGGAAGGUCAUUCRAUACUGUCYAACUAGAGUACGGUAGAGGGUANGUGGAAUUUCCGGUGUAGCGGUGAAAUGCGUAGAGAUCGGAAGGAACACCAGUGGCGAAGGCGGC
rnacentral:rRNA from 1 species